rnacentral:rRNA from 1 species
GCAAAGGACUUGGCGGUGCNGUCAACUAACCAGGGGAACCUGACUCUUAAUUCGACGAUCCACGAAUCUCUUACCAGCCUUGGUAUUUGUCAGGCAGUAUAUCGCCGUUGUGCAGCUUCCGUGGAGACGCAGUAGAAGGUCGNGAAGUACUAAAAAGGUUUUAGGUAAGAUAGGUGGGGGCAGGGGGUUUAAUUUAACCUAAAACCUUAUACAACAGUAAGAAUUCAGGUAAAGAUGCUCCNUAUGGGCUGGGGAGGUUGGGUUACAGUUUUUAAUUGUUAUU